rnacentral:rRNA from 1 species
UACGUAGGCAGCAAGCGUUGUUCGGAGUUACUGGGCGUAAAGAGUGCGUAGGCGGUCCUGUAAGUUUGGUGUGAAAUCUCCCGGCUCAACUGGGAGGGUGCGCCGAAGACUGCAGGGCUUGAGUAUGGGAGAGGUAAGCGGAAUUCCUGGUGUAGCGGUGGAAUGCGCAGAUAUCAGGAGGAACACCGAUGGCGAAGGCAGGUCUCUGGGCCGCAACUGACGCUGAGGAGCGAAAGCAUGGGGAGCGAACAGG